CCCCUAGAUGUUCUGGGUCGCACGCGCGCUACACUGAACAGUUCAACAAGUCUUAACCUUGGCCGAUAGGUCUGGGUAAUCUUUGAACGCUGUUCGUGAUUGGGAUAGACCUUUGCAAUUAUGGGUCUUCAACGAGGAAUUCCUAGUAAACGCAAGUCAUCAGCUUGCAUUGAUUACGUCCCUGCCCUUUGUACACACCGCCCGUCGCACCUACCGAUUGAAUGGUCCGGUGAAAUCUCGGGACGGCGGCUUGGUCGCUUGCGUCCGACUGCUGAAACUUGAUUAAACCAUAUCAUUUAGAGGAAGGUGAANUCGUAACA
rnacentral:rRNA from 1 species